rnacentral:tRNA from 1 species
GCGCCUGUAGCUCAGCGGAUAGAGCGUUGCCCUCCGGAGGCAAAGGUCAGGAGUUCAAAUCUCUUCAGGCGCG